AUAGAACAAAUAGCCCACAUGAACCACGGCCUCUUCUAGUUUGAGACCAGAAAAACUAGAUGGUUCCCAGCUACCACUACCAACCAUUCUGACCAGGGCCAUAAUAUGAGGUUCCGGAUAGAAUGGGAGAAAAAUGUAAAACAAAAUUCAAAUUCCUGAGAAAGGCCAGACUUACUGGACUGAUAGACACUAGAGGAAUCCCCGAGACUAUCGCCCUAAGAUAAACUUGGAACUUGGAACUGAAGCCACUCCUGGAGGUCACCUUUCAGCCAAAUAAUAAAUUGGCUUAUAAAAUAAACAGUAUCACCUGUGAGUAAUGUGCUCCCUUAAACAAUCAACUAUAUGAGACUGAACGAUCAACAUUUACCCUAAAGCAAGGAUGAGAAGGCACGGAGGGGAAAGGAAGCCAGAUCAAUGGAAACAGAACAAACAGAAUGGAAACAAUGAGAAUGCAGAUACAUUAUGAAAAUAGUAACUAAUAUCACAGAACAACUUGCAUAAAAAUUGUUAAAUGGGAACAUAAUUUGCUGUGUAAACUUUCAGCUAAAACACAAUAAAAUAUUUUAUAAAAAGGUUUAGAAUGUAUAGGAGAGAGAGAGAGGGCACAUGCGAGAGAGAGGAUGGGUGAGAAAGUGAAAGUAGUAAAAUGUUAACAAUUGGGAAAUAUGGGAGGAGGGAAUACGGAAGUUCCUUGUAUUGUCCUGGAAACUCUUCUGUAAGUUUAAAAUUAUUUCAAGAUCAUUUUUUAAAAAGAAGGUUACUGGAGUUGCUGAGUGGUGUAAAUGGCUAACGUACUUGGCUGCUAACCGAGAGGUUGGAGGUUUGAGUCCCCUCAGGGGCACCUUGGAAGAAAGGCCUGGUGAUUGACUGCCCCCCUCCAAAAAAAAAAAUCAACCUUGGAAAACCCUAUGGAGUUCUACUCUGGCACACACAGGGUUGCCAUGAGCUGAAACUGACUUCAUGGCAACUGGUUUGGUUUUUUUGGUUUAUUGGAGUCAUGCAGCUUGGAGAAUGCACUGAAUGUUGAUAGUUUACACUCAUCCUUCAAUGAUUCCAGAAACUUGGAAAGAAGAGUGCAGAGCCUUCGUUUGAACCAUGAAGUCAUGUCAUUUUGUACAGCACAGGUAUAUAUUCAAUGGAACUGAAAGCAAGAACACAAACAGAUGCUUGUACAACAAUGUUCAUUGCAAUACUGUUCUUAGUAGCCAAAAGGUGAAGGAGCCCCACCCGGAUUACAGAUUAGUAAGAGAGUUUUAGCUGGAUACAUGGUUAUUUCCCAGAUAACCUUGGAGUUGGACCGGGCAAUGUCACUGAGUUCAGGCCUAGGGAUGAGAGUGGAUGCGAUUUGUGCCAUACCCAGACCUUGACCUUCAAACAGCAGGCCUGUGCUCCCAUUUGGUCUGGCUCCUUACCUAUGAAGUGACCCCUGUCAUGACCCAGAUUUGAUCAUGCAGAUCAAGUAAAAUGCCCUGGGGGGUGGUGGAGAACCUGGGUCCUUAUUGAUUUAGGGGGAGCAGACCUGCCAGGAUAGAUUGGCCUGACUGCUACUUGGGAGAGAAAUGAAUGUCUUCUUUAUCUUCUUUAAACAUCUGUUUUAGGUUUUUUUUUGUUGUUGUUGUUAUAAAAACAGCCUUCAUUGUAAUAAAUAUAACAGGUAAACUCAAUUGAUCUCUUUGCUUCUUAAUGUCUCUAGUUGUUCAUAGGAAAGAUGAAUACAUUGAAUUGAGAGGUUCUUGAAGUACUAAUAAAAUAAUACUCCCAAUUCUGGUAUUUGCUUUGGUGAAUAUUUAUUCUAUAAAUGUAAUGAAGAAUCACAGAAUCAUAAAAUAGAAGCAGAGUUGGGCACAUGGGCACUCAAUGUAGGUUAAUAUUUCAGUACUCAUGGCAGGGUACUUACCUGGCACAUCAACAAACUGAUAUUCUUAAAUAUUUUUUUCAUAGUGCCCAAGUCUUUUCUUAUGGUUUCAGUUCAUUCUUUAGUCUUUUUACAUUCUUAUUUUAUAUUAUUUUUCAGGUUGUUUUAUCUCAAUACUUAUUUAGCAGAAAGGCUGGAGUCUUUUUAUUAUUUUAUGUAUUUAUUUUUAUUGUGCUUUAGAUGAAGGUUUACAGAGCAAAUUAGUUUCUCGUUAAAUAAUUAAUACACAUAUUGUUUUGCGACAUUGGUUGCCAACCCCGCAACAUGUCGACACUCCCCUCUUCCCGACCAUAGUUCCCCAUUUCCAUUUGCCCAGAUUUCCUGUCCCCUCUUGGCUUCUCGUCUUUGCCCUUGGGCUGGUGUGCCCAUUUUGUCUCAUAUACAUGGUUGAGUUAUGGGUAUUAUUGUUUGUUUUAUGGGCCUGUCUAAUCUUCAGCUGAAGGGUGAACCUCAGGAGUGACCACAGUACUGGGUUAAAAGGGUGUCUGGGGGCAAUACUCUCAGGGUUUCUCCAUUGCUGUCAGACUAGGAAGUCUGGUCCUUUUUUGUGAGUUUGAAUUUGUUCUGCAUUUUUCUCCAGCUGUGUCUGGGACACUCUAUUGUGAUCCCUAUCAGAGCAGUCUGUGGUGGUAGCCAGGCACCACCUAGUUGUGCUAGACUCAGUCUGGUGAAGUCUAUGGUAGUUGUGGUCCAUUAGUCCUUUGAACUAAUCUUUCCCUUGUGUCUUUGAUUUUCUUCAUUCUCCAUUUCACCAGACAGGGUGGGACCAGAGGAGUAUUUUAGAUGACCACUCACAAGCUUUUAAGAAGGGCUGGGGUCUUUUUAGUUUGACAUUUUGUUCACUGGUUUAUUCCCGGCACCUCAGACAGAACACAGCAUGUAGUAAGUGGUCAAUAUAUAUGUGUUGAAUGAAUGAAUGAAUAAAUGCUGAGUUACAGGGCUCAGCCUUUCCUAGGCAAUCCAGCUCUGAAUCCAAAUAUAUAACCCCUACUUCCCAAAACAAGAGCCCUAUAGUCAUCUGACCUAAACUCCUUAGAUCGCAACUGAGGGCCCAUCAGCCAUGACUUAAUCAUACGCCUUAAAAGUCUUUCUCUCACCCCAAGCAGCUUAUUAAAACAUUUCUUUCCACCACAUUCUGUAUACUUCCCUAGCAGAAGCCUGAUAAGUAUAAUUUUCCUACAGUUGGGUUAUAUUGCCAGUAGACUUUAAGCUCCCAGUGACGUUGUAGUGCCUGGUCAAGGCUGGAGUCCUGAGCACCUGCCCAGCUGGCCUGUCUCUUGUCCAUCUCUGAAUGGAAGAGGUCACAGUCUGUCCAUAUCUUUGUCCCUACACAGCUCCAGGGAAAAAGGGUUAAUUUGUAGUCAUAAGGUUUAGUGCUUUUUGUAUGACUGUGCAAGCUGGACAGAAAAUUCCCACCAGGAGAUUAGGGCUUUCUGGAGACGCUGAAAUGAGAAAGGCAUCACAUUGGCCCUAACGAUUUCCGGCAACCUGAGAGUAUUGCAACCACCCAGAUGCUGGAGGCGUCAAGAGUUCUUCUACCUAAUAUAAGAGGGUCUUUUGACUUCGAUGAUCCAAAGCACCAGGUUAAAUAUUUAAGCCAACCAGAAAGACAGGUUUUAUUGGAUCUUAUGUGUUAUAAAGCAUUCUCUGCCAUAAAUGGUAAGACAGACUUGGAUUUAUAUCUCGGCUCUGCCAGGUACUAGCUGUAUUUGUAACCCAAGUCACUUGACCGCUUUGAAUCUUAGUUCUUAUUUGUAAAAUGAAGAUAAUAGUACUCAUUUCAUGGAGUUAGUUGUGAAAAUUAAGUAACAUAAUGGUUGUGAAAUACGUAAUACAGUGCCUAGCACAGAUUAGACACUCAGAAAACAAAUUUUAGUUAACUUUAUUCCUUUCCC